AAUAUUGCGCAAUGGAGGGAACUCUGACGCAGCGACGUCGCGUGAGCGAAGAAGUUUUUCGGAUCGUAAAGCUCUGUCUUUGGGGACGAAAGAAAUGACGGUACCCAAUGAGGAAGCCCCGGCUAACUACGUGCCAGCAGCCGCGGUAACACGUAGGGGGCAAGCGUUGUCCGGAAUUACUGGGCGUAAAGGGUGCGUAGGCGGCAUAUUAAGUCAGGUGUGAAACCCCACGGCUCAACUGUGGGCUUGCACAUGAAACUGGUAUGCUUGAGUACAGGAGAGGAAAGCGGAAUUCCUAGUGUAGUGGUGAAAUGCGUAGAUAUUAGGAAGAACACCAGUGGCGAAGGCAGCCCCCUGGGAUAAUACUGACGCUCAGACACGAAAGCGUGGGGAGCAAACA
rnacentral:rRNA from 1 species